GGAAUAUUGGACAAUGGGCGCAAGCCUGAUCCAGCCAUGCCGCGUGAGUGAUGAAGGCCUUAGGGUUGUAAAGCUCUUUCAGUGGGGAAGAUAAUGACGGUACCCACAGAAGAAGCCCCGGCUAACUUCGUGCCAGCAGCCGCGGUAAUACGAAGGGGGCUAGCGUUGUUCGGAUUUACUGGGCGUAAAGCGCACGUAGGCGGAUUGGUCAGUUAGGGGUGAAAUCCUGGAGCUCAACUCCAGAACUGCCUUUAAUACUGCCAGUCUAGAGUCCGGAAGAGGUAAGUGGAACUCCUAGUGUAGAGGUGGAAUUCGUAGAUAUUAGGAAGAACACCAGUGGCGAAGGCGGUUUACUGGUCCGGUACUGACGCUGAGGUGCGAAAGCGUGGGGAGCAAACAGGAUUAGAUACCCGAG
rnacentral:rRNA from 1 species